rnacentral:lncRNA from 1 species
CAAGGAGCUGCCUGAGCUCAGAACCACUUAUGAAGACAAAGCUGAAGUGAGCUGCCCAGUUUGUGCUGCAGGACAAAAUCUUGUGCUUCUGAGCUCAGCAAUGAAGUUUUAAUCACCCCAAUAUACAUCUUUCCACGAUAUAUAUUUUUCUGUCUACCAAAGACAUAAUGGCUGCUCCUUUUAUGGGAAACCAGGAUUUAAUCCAGUAAGUCUGUGAGAAUCAAUAUUCUUGU